UAUUUCUUGAGUAUGAUAGAGUACAAUUGCCUUCCAAGCAAAAGGAUUAAUAAAAUUUAAAAGAAAUA
rnacentral:tRNA from 1 species